rnacentral:rRNA from 1 species
UUAUCGGAAUGAGAACAAUUCAAAUCCUUUAACGAGGAUCUAGCGGAGGGCAAGUCUGGUGCCAGCAGCCGCGGUAAUUCCAGCUCCGCAGGUGUAUAUCUAUGCUGCUGCGGUUAAAAAGCUCGUAGUUGGAUCUGCGUGCUCGGAACUGGUUGGCUCACUGAGGUCAAACUGGUCUCCGGCGCUUUAUUGGCUGGUUUUCCCUUGAUGCUCUUAACCGGGUGUCUUGGGUGGCUAGCACGUUUACUUUGAAAAAAUUAGAGUGCUCAAUACAGGCGUAAAGCCUUGAAUAGUGGUGCAUGGAAUAAUAGAAUAGGACCUCGGCUCUAUUUUGUUGGUUUUCGGAACGCGAGGUAAUGAUUAAGAGGGACAGACGGGGGCAUUCGUAUUGCGACGUUAGAGGUGAAAUUCUUGGAUCGUCGCAAGACGGACGACUGCGAAAGCAUUUGCCAAGAAUGUUUUCAUUAAUCAAGAACGAAAGUUAGAGGUUCGAAGGCGAUCAGAUACCGCCCUAGUUCUAACCGUAAACGAUGCCAACUAGCGAUUCGCAGGCGUUAAACAACGACCUUGCGGGCAGCUUCCCGGAAACGAAAGUGUUCGGGUUCCGGGGGAAGUAUGGUUGCAAAGCUGAAACUUAAAGGAAUUGACGGAAGGGCACCACCAGGAGUGGAGCCUGCGGCUUAAUUUGACCCAACACGGGAAAACUCACCCGGCCCGGACACCGUAAGGAUUGACAGAUUGAGAGCUCUUUCUUGAUUCGGUGGGUGGUGGUGCAUGGCCGUUCUUAGUUGGUGGAGCGAUUUGUCUGGUUUAUUCCGAUAACGAACGAGACUCUGGCCUACUAAAUAGUGGGCGGAUUCUUUCUGUCCGCAACACUUCUUAGAGGGACAAGCGGUGUUCAGCCGCACGAGAUUGAGCAAUAACAGGUCUGUGAUGCCCUUAGAUGUCCGGGGCUGCACGCGCGCUACACUGAAGGAAUCAGCGUGCUUUCUGACCUUGCCCGAAAGGGCUGGGUAACCCGAUGAAAAUCCUUCGUGAUUGGGAUAGGGACUUGCAAUUAUUUCCCUUGAACGAGGAAUUCCCAGUAAGUGUGGGUCAUAAGCUCGCGUUGAUUACGUCCCUGCCCUUUGUACACACCGCCCGUCGCUGCCCGGAACUGAGCCGUUUCGAGAAGAACAGGGACCGUCGUUGAAGGGCCUUAACGGGCUUUUCUCUGAUAGAAACUGUU